rnacentral:rRNA from 1 species
UACGUAGGAGGCAAGCGUUGUCCGGAAUCACUGGGCGUAAAGCGCGUGUAGGUGGUGCGACAAGUCUGCUGUGAAAGCGCCUGGCUUAACCGGGCGAGGUCGGCGGAAACUGACGUACUGGAGGCCGGUAGAGGGGGGUGGAAUUCCCGGUGUGAGUGGUGAAAUGCGUAGAGAGUCGGGAGGAACACCUGUGGCGAAGGCGGCGACCUGGGCCAAUAUUGACGCUGAGGUGCGAAAGCGUGGGGAGCAAACAGG